rnacentral:rRNA from 1 species
GAUGAACGCUAGCGGCAGGCUUAAUACAUGCAAGUCGUACGGGAUCCGAGGUAGCAAUACUUUGGUGAGAGUGGCGCACGGGUGCGUAACACGUAUGCAACCUACCUAUAACCGGGACACAACCUCGAGAAAUUGAGGCUAAUAUCCCAUAACACUGCGAGAUGGCAUCAUUUUGCAGUUAAAACUCCGGUGGUUAUAGAUGGGCAUGCGCGACAUUAGCUAGUUGGUGAGGUAACGGCCCACCAAGGCUACGAUGUCUAGGGGUUCUGAGAGGAUUAUCCCCCACACUGGUACUGAGACACGGACCAGACUCCUACGGGAGGCAGCAGUAAGGAAUAUUGGUCAAUGGGCGCAAGCCUGAACCAGCCAUGCCGCGUGAAGGAUGACGGCCCUAUGGGUUGUAAACUUCUUUUCCAGGGGUGAAUAAUUCCGAUGUAUCGGGAGAUGACGGUACCCUGGGAAUAAGCAUCGGCUAACUCCGUGCCAGCAGCCG